rnacentral:rRNA from 1 species
UGGGGAAUCUUGGACAAUGGGGGCAACCCUGAUCCAGCCAUGCCGCGUGAGUGAUGAAGGCCUUAGGGUCGUAAAGCUCUUUCGCCUGUGAAGAUAAUGACGGUAGCAGGUAAAGAAACCCCGGCUAACUCCGUGCCAGCAGCCGCGGUAAUACGGAGGGGGUUAGCGUUGUUCGGAAUUACUGGGCGUAAAGCGCACGUAGGCGGACCAGAAAGUUGGGGGUGAAAUCCCGGGGGCUCAACCCCGGAACUGCCUCCAAAACUAUUGGUCUAGAGUUCGAGAGAGGUGAGUGGAAUUCCAAGUGUAGAGGUGAAAUUCGUAGAUAUUUGGAGGAACACCAGUGGCGAAGGCGGCUCACUGGCUCGAUACUGACGCUGAGGUGCGAAAGUGUGGGGAGCAAACAGGAUUAGAUACCCUGGUAGUCCACACCGGUAAAACGAUGAAUGCCAGUCGUCGGGUAGCAUGCUAUUCGGUGACACACCUAACGGAUUAAGCA